CCUUCUAGACUCUGGAAGUUGAGUAACAGGACCUGCUCUGCCCACCCAGGAGGGGCCUGCCGCUUCACCAGAGGCACCAGUGGGGUCUCCCAGUCACCUGAGGAAUGGCCUUGAUGAAGAUGACAGGCAUGGCCGGGGUCAGCUCUUUCAGCCGCGCUUCAGCGAUGACUCCAGUCUGGGUGUCCCAGCGAGCCCCUGCAGGGACAGUAUGGCUGAGGGUCAGGUGUGCUGCCAGAGUCGCAGCAGCUGGGGAGUGGGUGAGACUGGGCCAGCCAGCAUGACCUGGAGUCUCAGUGCAGCCACAAAACGCACUUCUGUCCUGGGCUGACUGCUCCAUGGCAGGGAAAGCCUGAGCUUUUCAGCGCUUUUCAUCACGUCGGAGCUGCUCUCUCACAAGCUCUGCUGUUUUCAUUAAAGCAGAGGCCAGGUGA
rnacentral:sRNA from 1 species